rnacentral:rRNA from 1 species
CAUGCAAGUCGAACGAGAAUCUACUGAAGGAGGAUUCGUCCAACGGAAGUAGAGGAAAGUGGCGGACGGGUGAGUAACGCGUGAGGAACCUGCCUUGAAGAGGGGGACAACAGUUGGAAACGACUGCUAAUACCGCAUGAUGCAUAGGGGUCGCAUGAUCUUUAUGCCAAAGAUUUAUCGCUUCAAGAUGGCCUCGCGUCUGAUUAGCUGGUUGGCGGGGUAACGGCCCACCAAGGCGACGAUCAGUAGCCGGACUGAGAGGUUGAACGGCCACAUUGGGACUGAGAUACGGCCCAGACUCCUACGGGAGGCAGCAGUGGGGAAUAUUGGGCAAUGGGCGCAAGCCUGACCCAGCAACGCCGCGUGAAGGAAGAAGGCUUUCGGGUUGUAAACUUCUUUUAAGAGGGAAGAGCAGAAGACGGUACCUCUAGAAUAAGCCACGGCUAACUACGUGCCAGCAGCCGCGGUAAUACGUAGGUGGCAAGCGUUGUCCGGAUUUACUGGGUGUAAAGGGCGUGCAGCCGGGUCUGCAAGUCAGAUGUGAAAUCCAUGGGCUCAACCCAUGAACUGCAUUUGAAACUGUAGAUCUUGAGUGUCGGAGGGGCAAUCGGAAUUCCUAGUGUAGCGGUGAAAUGCGUAGAUAUUAGGAGGAACACCAGUGGCGAAGGCGGAUUGCUGGACGAUAACUGACGGUGGGGCGCGAAAGUGUGGGGAGCAAACAGGAUUAGAUACCCUGGUAGUCCACACUGUAAACGAUGAAUACUAGGUGUGCGGGGACUGACCCCCUGCGUGCCGCAGUAAACACAAUAAGUAUUCCACCUGGGGAGUACGAUCGCAAGG